GCCCGCCUAGCUCAAUUGGUCAGAGCGUCAGACUUUUACGGCGGGGGUUGAUUCCCUUCGGAAUCUGAAGGCUGCGAGUUCGAGCCUCGCGGUGGGCU
rnacentral:tRNA from 1 species